GUGGAAGGGGGGAUAGAUAGCGGUUCGCUUGGGCCUCGGGCCCAAACCCGGAUCCAAGCAUCACUUGAGACUUCAACUUGAAAGACUAAAAGAACCUGCAAUGUUUCUCACAAGCCAUGGCGUAGAAGGUUUUGUGUUUCUGAAUCUCACUCACCGCGUAUCGCACUUUUGCACUAUUCUUCCUCUUGUAACCACAUGUCCAAAGAAUCAAAAGAAGCAUGAAGAAGGAAAAACGCUUAUGUGAAUAAGUUGCAACGACAAUGCAAUUAACUGCUUCAUCUUUGCAUGUUCGAGUAUGGAUUGCAUUCGUCAACAACAUUGCGUCUCCAUGAUCAUCUCAAAUCGACAGUUCAAGCUUCCGAAUUCAAGACAACAGCUAUCGAAAAUGCAACAGCGUCGACGCGGAACCGAUAUAAAUUGCAGGUUGAAACAAGCAGAAUGAAGACUUACCGGUUUCAACAAUAGGUUGAUUCUGUUAUGGGGGUUAUUGCAGAAUUGUGAUUUUUCCAAGAGGAAGAAGAAGAUGGUGAUGUGAGAGUGGUGAUGAAUUGUGUAAGUUCCGGAUUGGAUUAUUUAAGAUUGAAGGUGAAAUUGGAUUGAAGUUCGAUGAUGGUUGAGUGUGAGUUCUGAAAAUGAAAAAAUCCUCCAAGAGUGAAUCACAGUGUUAGCUUAUAUACACUUUCAGUCCGUUAAAUUGGUUACCUUCCGUUAAUCCACCUCUGUGUAAAUCUGUUAGGAGCUAUAACACAGUUAGUUAAAGUUUGUUAGUUUGUUAGAAAAGUUAUGAAAUUAGUGACUGAAAUUGGUUCUGCAGAAGGAUGUUUUGUCGUUU